rnacentral:misc_RNA from 1 species
UAAGUCAGCAGGGCAGUGGCGGGCAGAGCAGAGCCAGAAGUGUUGGAGUCCGCCACGGCAACACACCCGUGACAUGUGACGCUCAGCUUUUUCGCUUCCCACCUUCAUAGCGGUGGCGGCGGUGGUGAUGGUUACAGGUGGCGACGCAAUCCUCAACAGGUCCCCCACCAUGUCGAACCUCACGCAGGAGAUCGCCUAUUCCUUGGUGGUCAACCAGUUGGCAAUACUGAAGAGCAUGAACGAGUCUUCCUCCCUCUGUGCCUCCCGUGACACGGAACUUCGUUUGUGGGAGGAGGAGGCAAACCAACAAUUGCAAGAGACAGAGAUGCGGCAGCAGGCUGUGAAGGAGACGGUGCAAGCACAACAGCAGGAUGUGAACAAAGUUAAAAGACGGCACCGGGCGUUGAAGAAGACCGUGCAGGCACAGCACCAGGCGGUGGAGGCAGUGGAAGGACGGCAGCAGACAGUGGAGAAGACGGUGCAGGCACAGCAGCAGGCGGUGGAGCCAAUGGAAGGGCGGCAGCAGACAGUGGAGAAGACGGUGCAUGCACAGCAGCAGGCGGUGGAGGCAAUGGAAGGGCGGCAGCAGGCAGUGGAAGAGUCAGGGCAGACACAGCAGCAGGCAGUGGAGGUAGUGGAAAGGCAGCAGCAGAAGGUGGAGAAAGCAGCGCAGGCACAACAGCAGGCGGUGGGGGCAGUGGAAGGGCAGCAGCAGGCGGUGGAGGAGACAGUGCAUGCACAGCAGCAGGCGGUGGAGGCAGUGGAAAGGCGGCAGCAGGCGGUGGAGAAGACGGUGCAGACACAAGAGCAGGCGGCGGAGGGAGUGGAAGGGCGACAGCAGGUGAUGGAGAAGACGGUGCAGACACAGCAGCAGGCGGUGGAGGCUGUGGAAGGGCGGCAGCAGGUGGUGGAGAAGAUGGUGCAGACACAACAGCAGGCGGUGAAGGUAGUGGAAGGGCGUCAGCAGGCUGUGGAAGGGCGACAGCAGGCGGUGGAGGAGACGGUGCAGACACAGCAGCAUGCGGUGGAGGCAGUAGAAGGGCGGCAACAGGCUGUGGAAGGCUGGCAGCAGGCGGUAGAAAAGACAAUGCAGAUACAGCAGCAGGCGGUGGAGGCAGUGGAAGGGCGGCAGCAGGUCUCCUCCACCGCCUGCUGUUGUGUCUGCACCGUCUCUCCACCGCCUGCUGCCGCCCUUCCACAGCCUCCACCGCUUGCUGCUCAUAGACCGAUCUUCGGGUAGGACUGAGACCACAACACACUCCACACACCGGAAAAGCGAGGCCACAACCCCUCGAGUUACAUCCCGUACCUAUUUACUGCUAGGUGAACAGGGGCCACACAUUAAGAGGCUUGCCCAUUUGCCUCGCCACCUCUGGGAUUCGGACCCAGACCCCCUCGAUUGAUAAUGAAUUUGUGUAUUGGACCAUCUCUCUACCAGCCUCUUAUGAACACUGUCAAGACUAACCUGUUCGUUGUGAAAAUUAUAACAAACUUUUACGGAGGAAUGGGUGUGCACUACCAGGCCGUGCCCAUACAGAGGGACGGUAUUCACGCCGCUGCUUCCUCCCUACAGUAGCUAUCCACAGACACACCUGAAUUACCUUUACAUUAUGUCUUGUACUACAUUACUGUAACAUGUAACUAAUAAAUAAAAGUUUUAAUGUAUUUGA